GGAAUAUUGGACAAUGGGGGCAACCCUGAUCCAGCCAUGCCGCGUGAGUGAUGAAGGCCCUAGGGUUGUAAAGCUCUUUCAGCGAGGAGGAUAAUGACGUUACUCGCAGAAGAAGCCCCGGCUAACUUCGUGCCAGCAGCCGCGGUAAUACGAAGGGGGCUAGCGUUGUUCGGAAUUACUGGGCGUAAAGCGCGCGUAGGCGGACUGGAAAGUUGGGGGUGAAAUCCCAGGGCUCAACCCUGGAACUGCCUCCAAAACUAUCAGUCUAGAGUUCGAGAGAGGUGAGUGGAAUUCCGAGUGUAGAGGUGAAAUUCGUAGAUAUUCGGAAGAACACCAGUGGCGAAGGCGGCUCACUGGCUCGAUACUGACGCUGAGGUGCGAAAGUGUGGGGAGCAAACAGGAUUAGAUACCCUGGUAGUCCACGCCGUAAACGAUGGAAGCUAGCCGUCAGGUAGCAUGCUAUUUGGUGGCGCAGCUAACGCAUUAAGCUUCCCGCCUGGGGAGUACGGUCGCAAGAUUAAAACUCAA
rnacentral:rRNA from 1 species